AUUUAAAUAGCUUAUUCAGAGCAUAGCACUGAAGAUGCUAAGGUGACAUUUAAGUCUUUAAAUA
rnacentral:tRNA from 1 species